rnacentral:rRNA from 1 species
UACGUAGGGUGCGAGCGUUGUCCGGAAUUAUUGGGCGUAAAGAGCUCGUAGGCGGUGUGUCACGUCGAUCGUGAAAACUUUCAGCUUAACUGGGAGCUUGCGGUCGAUACGGGCAUCACUGGAGUUCGGCAGGGGAGACUGGAAUUCAAGGUGUAGCGGUGAAAUGCGCAGAUAUCCUGAGGAACACCGGUGGCGAAGGCGGGUCUCUGGGCCGAUACUGACGCUGAGGAGCGAAAGCGUGGGGAGCGAACAGG